rnacentral:rRNA from 1 species
AUUGAACGCUGGCGGCAUGCCUUACGCAUGCAAGUCGAACGGCAGCACGGGAGCAAUCCUGGUGGCGAGUGGCGAACGGGUGAGUAAAGUAUCGGAACGUGCCCAGUCGCGGGGGAUAACGUAGCGAAAGUUACGCUAAUACCGCAUACGAUCUAUGGAUGAAAGCGGGGGAUCGCAAGACCUCGCGCGAUUGGAGCGGCCGAUAUCAGAUUAGGUAGUUGGUGGGGUAAAGGCUCACCAAGCCGACGAUCUGUAGCUGGUCUGAGAGGACGACAAGCCACACUGGGACUGAGACACGGCCCAGACUCCUACGGGAGGCAGCAGUGGGGAAUUUUGGACAAUGGGCGAAAGCCUGAUCCAGCCAUGCCGCGUGCAGGAUGAAGGCCUUCGGGUUGUAAACUGCUUUUGUACGGAACGAAAAGGUUUGGCCUAAUAAGCUGAGCUCAUGACGGUACCGUAAGAAUAAGCACCGGCUAACUACGUGCCAGCCGCCGCGGUAA